AGAAGUGGUGUUGCUGGGCGAAAGGCCAUGAAUUCUGGAUCCACAAGUUGUCAAACUAUGGAGCUUCCUUUGGAGUUUCAUUUCAGAGGUUCUUGGAAGUGACAGAAGAUGAUGAGUGGGUGGAUCUCAGGCUGCCUCCUGUACUGGAAGCCUCUAUCCCCCAAUCCAAUUUAUAUUGUCUCCACGCUCAUCCCCAGGGGUAGCUUCCAGCCAACAGCGCAUGAGGAACUGAGACCCUCAGACCAAUAUUCCUUGUGGAGCUGAAACUUGGUGGACAAACACAGAGUGAACUUUGAAGUGAAGCCUUCCUCCAUCGAGCCUUCAGAUGACCAUAGCCCCAGCUGAUACCUUGAUUGCAGCCUCUGAGAGACCUUGAGUGUGAGGGCUCAGCUGAUCUGUGCCUGGAUUCCUGAUCUACAAAAAAUAAUUGAGAUAAUAAAUGUUGCUAUUUUAAUCCACCAA